UACAGAGGGUGCUAGCGUUGUUCGGAAUCAUUGGGCGUAAAGGGCGCGUAGGCGGCGCGGUAAGUCGGGUGUGAAAUCUCGGAGCUUAACUCCGAAACUGCAUUCGAUACUGCCGUGCUUGAGGACUGGAGAGGAGACUGGAAUUUACGGUGUAGCGGUGAAAUGCGUAGAUAUCGUAAGGAAGACCAGUGGCGAAGGCGGGUCUCUGGACAGUUCCUGACGCUGAGGCACGAAGGUCAGGGGAGCAAACGGG
rnacentral:rRNA from 1 species